rnacentral:rRNA from 1 species
UGCGGAAGGAUCAUUCACAAGAUUAUAUUUUAUAUUACUUUGUGGAACAUUUGGUUGAAUUUACAUGUUUUAUUACAAAAAAUUAAUUAUAAUUAAAAAAAUAAUUUUAAGAAAACCUCCAACAACGGAUCUCUUGGUUCCCAGAUCGAUGAAGAGCGCAGCGAAUUGCGAAAUGUGAUGUGUAUUGCAGUGAAUCAUCAAUUCUUGAACGCACAUGGCACCCCUUUUAGGGGUAUGCUUGUAUGAGGGUGUUUAAUAUGAAAUUGCUUUGGCUUUUUUUAAAUAAAUGGUUUUUCAAAUUGUUACUAAUAGACGAAAGAAUCAGUGCAACAAGCUGUGUUGAAUCUUUCAUUAAAUCUUUUAGUUAACUACUUUAACUAUUUGCACCUCAUAUCAAGCAAGACUACCCGCUGAACUUAAGCAUAUCAAUAAGCGGAGGAAAAAA